GGGGAGAUAGUUCAGUGGAAGAACACGCCACUUGGGGGUGGCGUGAGUAGGGUUCAAAUCCCUAUCUCCCCA
rnacentral:tRNA from 1 species